UCAGCAACGGUAUCUUUUGUUUCUUCCGAUGAUCCGGCAGCUAGUUCGUCGCCCUCGAUUUUGUCUAGAGGUACUGCAUCUUCAACGUUGGAACUUUCGACUUCCUGAUCAGCCUUGUCUUCGGUUGGUGUCCCGUCAACUUGGUCUUGUCCGUGCAAUGUGGUCUCAUUCUCUGCUUCGUGGACUUGCUCAGCCUCGCGUGGUGUUUCUUCAGCCGCUUCUUUCUUGUCUUGAGCAUCAGACUCUGGUGCAGCAGAUACUUGAUCAGUUCCAUGAUCCUCGCCUGCGUCUACUUCGUGAUCUCCACUGCUCGUCUUUUCUUCGACACUUUUGCUUCCAGAUUCCUCUGCGGCGUCUAUCUCCACCAUCGGUUCUGUUGCUAGUUGUUCCUCACUAACAGUUGCGCUUCCGUCUGGAACAG
rnacentral:lncRNA from 1 species